GCAGGGGUAGCCGAGCCUGGCCAAAGGCGCGGGACUUAAGAUCCCGUCUCUUAGGGGUCCGUGGGUUCAAAUCCCACCCCCUGCA
rnacentral:tRNA from 1 species